rnacentral:rRNA from 1 species
UUGAACGCUGGCGGCAGGCCUAACCCCUGCAAGUCGGGCGGAUGAAGGGAGCUUGCUCCUGGAUUCAGCGGCGGACGGGUGAGUAAUGCCUAGGAAUCUGCCUGGUAGUGGGGGAUAACGUCCGGAAACGGGCGCUAAUACCGCAUACGUCCUGAGGGAGAAAGUGGGGGAUCUUCGGACCUCACGCUAUCAGAUGAGCCUAGGUCGGAUUAGCUAGUUGGUGGGGUAAAGGCCUACCAAGGCGACGAUCCGUAACUGGUCUGAGAGGAUGAUCAGUCACACUGGAACUGAGACACGGUCCAGACUCCUACGGGAGGCAGCAGUGGGGAAUAUUGGACAAUGGGCGAAAGCCUGAUCCAGCCAUGCCGCGUGUGUGAAGAAGGUCUUCGGAUUGUAAAGCACUUUAAGUUGGGAGGAAGGGCAGUAAGUUAAUACCUUGCUGUUUUGACGUUACCAACAGAAUAAGCACCGGCUAACUUUGUG